rnacentral:rRNA from 1 species
CCUACGGGAGGCAGCAGUGAGGAAUAUUGGUCAAUGGGCGCAAGCCUGAACCAGCCAUGCCGCGUGCAGGAAGAAUGCCCUACGGGUUGUAAACUGCUUUUAUUUGGGAAUAAACCUUUCUACGUGUAGAAAGCUGAAGGUACCAAUUGAAUAAGCACCGGCUAACUCCGUGCCAGCAGCCGCGGUAAUACGGAGGGUGCAAGCGUUAUCCGGAAUCAUUGGGUUUAAAGGGUCCGCAGGCGGACCUAUAAGUCAGUGGUGAAAGCCUACAGCUUAACUGUAGAACUGCCAUUGAAACUGUAGGUCUUGAAUUCGGUCGAAGUGGGCGGAAUGUGUAGUGUAGCGGUGAAAUACAUAGAUAUUACACAGAACACCGAUAGCGAAGGCAGCUCACUAGGCCUGGAUUGACGCUCAGGGACGAAAGCGUGGGGAUCAAACAGGAUUAGAUACCCUGGUAGUCCACGCCGUAAACUAUGAUUACUCGUUUUCGGCGAUAUACAGUCGGAGACUAAGCGAAAGUGAUAAGUAAUCCACCUGGGGAGUACGAUCGCAAGGUUGAAACUCAAGGAAAUUGACGGCUGGAGAGNGCGAGACGACGACGAGGGAGGAGG